GUUGUAGCUCAGUGGCAGAGCAUCUGCCUUGCAGGCAGGAAGUCCCAGGUUCGAUCCCCAGUGUCUCCA